rnacentral:rRNA from 1 species
UAAGGAAUCUUCCACAAUGGGGGCAACCCUGAUGGAGCAACGCCGCGUGCAGGAUGAAGGCCCUCGGGUCGUAAACUGCUUUUGUUAGCGAAGAAUAUGACGGUAACUAACGAAUAAGGGUCGGCUAACUACGUGCCAGCAGCCGCGGUCAUACGUAGGACCCAAGCGUUAUCCGGAGUGACUGGGCGUAAAGAGUUGCGUAGGCGGUUAGUAAAGCGAAUAGUGAAAGCUGGUGGCUCAACCAUACAGAUUAUUGUUCGAACUCACUGACUCGAGAGUGGUAGAGGUAGCUGGAAUUUCUAGUGUAGGAGUGAAAUCCGUAGAUAUUAGAAGGAACACCAAUGGCGUAGGCAGGCUACUGGACCAUUUCUGACGCUGAGGCACGAAAGCGUGGGGAGCG